rnacentral:rRNA from 1 species
GAUGAACGCUGGCGGCGUGCUUAACACAUGCAAGUCGAACGGGAAACCUUUUAUUGAAGCUUCGGCAGAUUUAGCUGGUUUCUAGUGGCGGACGGGUGAGUAACGCGUGGGUAACCUGCCUUAUACAGGGGGAUAACAGUCAGAAAUGGCUGCUAAUACCGCAUAAGCGCACAGAGCUGCAUGGCUCAGUGUGAAAAACUCCGGUGGUAUAAGAUGGACCCGCGUUGGAUUAGCUGGUUGGUGGGGUAACGGCCCACCAAGGCGACGAUCCAUAGCCGGCCUGAGAGGGUGAACGGCCACAUUGGGACUGAGACACGGCCCAGACUCCUACGGGAGGCAGCAGUGGGGAAUAUUGCACAAUGGAGGAAACCCUGAUGCAGCGACGCCGCGUGAAGGAAGAAGUAUCUCGGUAUGUAAACUUCUAUCAGCAGGGAAGAUAAUGACGGUACCUGACUAAGAAGCCCCGGCUAACUACGUG